GACAGAGGGGGCAAGCGUUGCUCGGAAUCACUGGGCGUAAAGGGCGCGUAGGCGGGAUGGCAAGUCAGUCGUGAAAUCUCUCGGCUCAACCGAGAAACGUCGGCUGAUACUGCCGUUCUUGAGGGAUGCAGAGGAGACUGGAAUUUCCGGUGUAGCGGUGAAAUGUGUAGAUAUCUGGAGGAACACCGGUGGCGAAGGCGGCAUCCUGGGCCGGUAUUGACGCGUGAUGCGCGAAAGCCAGGGGAGCAAAGCGGG
rnacentral:rRNA from 1 species